UCCCUGGUGGUCCAGUGGUUAGGACUUGACAUUUUUCACUGCCAUGGCCCAGGUUCAAUCCCUGGUUGGGGAA